GGCGCGGUCGCCUGGGCCAAGGGCGUGCGUUUCCGUCACCUGAGCAGCCUGACUCGAAAUGACGAAUGGAGCCCAUCCAAUAUUGCCCUCCUCCCCCCCCCCCCCCCUUGGUCUUCCAGGAAUUCAUGUCGACUGCCCACUGGGAGCCAGGUUGGUGCUGGGAGACAUCGGUGAACAGGAGGACGAGCCUCUGGCCCCAGACACCCCCCACCCAGAGGGAGGAGACAGACUGUCGAACAAGCGAACAACAAACGAGCCAACAGUUACAGAUUGUGAUUGAAUGCUGCGAAGGAAACCAAGAAAGGGCGGACGUGCAGGCUCAGCGCGGAGGGGCGGCCGCCCUUAGCCGCAGCUGUCAGAGGGUCCCUGUGAUGAGGCCGCGUUGGAGCCAGGAGCUGGAGGACGGGACGGAGCCAGCCACGCGCAGGCGCGCUACCAAGGAACACACUAAUCUACCUCCCAGGAAGUGGUUGGGGGAGCGCCAAGAGGAGCUGGAGUGACAGCAGGGCACAGAGGCUGCAGUCCUUGCACCGUGCACUUGCAGAGGUUUCCAGGCAUGUCUUCCAAGCCCGGAAGGACACAGGAACCCCGCCACCAGCCCUCACAGCCUGUCAUCCCACCACGACAGAAUCUGGCUCUGUGAAUCUUUCAAAUGUUUCUUUAAACAAUGGAGGCACCUGACGUGGUGGCCCAUGCCUGUAGUCCCAGCUACUCGGGAGGCUGAGGCAGGAGGAUCCCUCGAGCCCAGGAGAUUGAAUUUAGCCUGGGCAACAUAGCGAGACCCUGUCUCUAAAAUAAUAAAUAAAUAGAAUUAAACAUGCAGGUCAUUUCGGGAAGUGUUCCACUUUCCAUCCUGGUUGUCAAUUAUGACUGAGAGCAGGGAGUUGGGUUGGCCGCCCCAUGGGGCCAGUUGAUGGGGGAGGGGUGUCCUGAGGUCAAGCCAGGUCCCUGUGUGUGCACCGACAAGCCCUAGCCUGGGGGAAGGCUAGCCUCGCCAGCAAAUAAGACAGGGAGAAGGAGGAGGGAGGAGCAGGUAAACUGAGGCAAAAAAGCUGGGGCCAGAGGAAACACCCUAUUAACAAACACCUUAGUUAAUAUUGAACCCUAGUUAACAGCCAAUGUCUUCAUUAACUGUUAACACCCUAGUUAACUACGAACAUCCAACUUAACAAAAACCUUGUUUGUUGUUGAACACCCUAGUACCAGUGAACACUCUAGUUAACAGCAAACAUUGUUAUUAACAGUUAACACCCCAGUAAACUGUGAACACGCUUCUUAACAAACACCUUGGUUGACAGCGAAUGCUUUAGUCAACAAUGAACACCUCCUAGUUAACGGUUAACACCUUCUUUAACAGUUAGCACCCUACUUAACAACAAGCACUGUAGUUGACAGCCAAUCCUUUGGCAGGAACCGUUUCCAGCUGAAAGUGAGGAGGAGGCACUGGCUGAGGGUUUGGG
ensembl:lincRNA